rnacentral:tRNA from 1 species
GGCUCAGUAGCUCAGUAGGUCAGAGCAGGGGACUCAUAAGCCCAAGGUCGACAGUUCAAAUCUGUCCUGAGCCA